rnacentral:rRNA from 1 species
GACGAACGCUGGCGGCGUGCUUAACACAUGCAAGUCGAACGGAAAGGCCCUGCUUUUGUGGGGUGCUCGAGUGGCGAACGGAUGAGUAACACGUGAGUAACCUGCCCUUGACUUUGGGAUAACUUCAGGAAACUGGGGCUAAUACCGGAUAGGAGCUCCUGCUGCAUGGUGGGGGUUGGAAAGUUUCGGCGGUUGGGGCUGGACUCGCGGCUUAUCAGCUUGUUGGUGGGGUAGUGGCUUACCAAGGCUUUGACGGGUAGCCGGCCUGAGAGGGUGACCGGCCACAUUGGGACUGAGAUACGGCGCAGACUCCUACGGGAGGCAGCAGUGGGGAAUAUUGCACAAUGGGCGGAAGCCUGAUGCAGCAACGCCGCGUGCGGGAUGACGGCCUUCGGGUUGUAAACCGCUUUCGCCUGUGACGAAGCGUGAGUGACGGUAAUGGGUAAAGAAGCACCGGCUAACUACGUG